GCACGCCUGGCUGCUUUUGUUAAAUAAAACACUGCUGCUGUUAGUUUAGAGCCCAAUAGUCCUGGACUUCACCGGAGCAGAGCAACAAAACGUUUGGUGCUAUAAAAAGCCCCAAACACACACAAAUCAGCUUCCUGAAAGGCCUCCGUUGGGAGAAAUAGAGUUCACCUCCUUUAGGAGGGAGGAGCGAAGGGCGUGUUCUUCUUAAAACAGGUCCAGGUUGCAUUAUUUAUCAAAUUUUGUAUCGUCGUCAAUUUCACAUCACUCGAUAUCUCCAAUCUAAAGGAGCAACAUGUAAGAAUUCUGCAGUGAAAUAAUCACAAAACAUCUGAUGUCUCACUCGUGUUGAAAGGAAGGAUACAUGCUGCAUAUUUUUCAUCGCUAAUUGAGGAGAAUAAGAAUAAUCCUAAUUUUUUUUCAGUACAGAUGCUAAACUUACACAGAAUCAUAGCUCUGAACCAUCUGUUCCCUUAGCCCUCAGCAGCAACGACUUUAUGGGAUUUUUCACGAGUAAAAUUAAUUCUAUUAGAAACAAAAUGAUUAGCAUCCUUCCUAAUGCGAUUUCUUCUUCCUCAGUAAGUGAGGCAGCAUCAGAGGUGACUGUAGAACCUCAUCUGUGUUUGAACUGUUUUGAUGCAGUUGAGCUUUCAGAUUUAUCGUUCUCCACACUCUUGUUUUUGAGUUUUGUGUCACGGCUUGGGGCACACACACACACACACACACACACACACACACACACACACACACACACACACACACACACACACGGAAAUGUGGAAAUCCCUGUUUUAACAAUGAGCUCAUCUGAUUCCUGGCAUUCUGCCCUCUCUCUCUCUCUCUCUCUCUCUCUCUCUCUCUCUCUCUCUCUCUCUCUCUCUCUCUCCCCUCCUGUCUUUCAAUCUCUUUGUCAGUAUCUCUGCAUAUCUUUAAUUCAUAGUAGCACUUUCUCAGUCUUACAUGUUCCAAAGUCAAAUAGAACUGGAAUGUGAGGGUUUGUGAUACUGACUACGUUUACAUGCAGCCAAUAUCCGGGUUAUGAUCGGGUUAUGAUCGGGUUAUGGUCGGGUUAAGGUCGGGAUUCGGGUUUCUGAGUUGAUCAGAAUAACCCGUUUACAAGCAUAAAUAGAAAGAGUUACCUCUAACUUGCAUAACCCGAUUUAAAUGCGGACGUUGGGGUAGCGUCAGGACGUACGGACUACGUCCAGACGCAAUAUGUGUCAUUUCUGGUUCUUCUUGUUCCGGUAUCCGUGAAAACAACAACAUGUUUCCCAGUUCGGAAGAGAUAGCGACCGCGUUUGUUUGCGCUUUAGUUUCCUCGUCACUCCAAAAGUGUGGUGCUGUGCCGCGACUCGCCAUGUUGCUCCAAACUUGUUGUUUACUUCUGGUGUUCUGGCGCAUACAAGACGUCUCGCUACUCAAAAGACCAAGAUUCCUUGCGAACAGAGCAUGUGCAGAACACACACUUCGAUGGGGAUAUCCCGAUACGCGUUUACACGACCAAACAUUCGGGUUAGAAAAGGGUUACCCCAGGUGUAGUAACCAGGUUUUUAAAAACCCGGUUAUGAGCAUAUCCGGGUUUUUGGCGGUGUUUACAUGGACCUGCGGAACCGGGUUAUUGUGAAUAUUCGUGUUUUAAAAGGGUUACUGGCUGCGUGUAAACGUAGUCAUUGUGUCUUCAAACAUUGAAACGUUAACUUCCUUUGACUGAGUUUAGGCUUUCUCUGAGAACUGAAUGUGCACACAGAGAAGCAACGCCUUGGAAAAUUAAUAAAAAAUACUCAAAUCCUCGUUUUUAAACCUCAAUAAAGGAGAGAAAACACGAGUUUCUCAACCUUGCAGGAUCAAGGGUCUUUUGGAGGGAUUUUUUUGCUCUUUGCUUUCCACCAAGAGAACCAUGGACAGAAUCAUGAGACAUAUUUAAGGCAUCCAUGCUUUCGUUCUUUUUAAACACAGAAACAGUUUUGUUUACCUGUUAUUGACGCUACAGUUUCGCCGACAGCUGCCGGCUUCUUCAGGCUGACGCUGAUGGUGGCGCGUCAUUUCCUUCUCCGUUUAUCUGCGGGCAGCAGAGGACGUUGUCGCCCUCUACUGCCCGCUCUCCCCUCUCCGACGAUGCAGUCCCAUGCGUGGUCCAGCGUGUAAACUCCGUUGUCCCUGUUCAUGGUCCCACAUCCACGUCUCCUUAUCUCGAUUGCUUCCUUGAUCCAUCUUUUGUAUUUUUGUUGUUCGGUGGUUAUGAUCCGUGUGCUGUCCCAGUCCAUUAUAUGGUUUUCUCUUAAGCAAUGAUCUGUUACGGCUGACUUUUUUAUUGUACUUUCUGCUUCUUCUUUUGCUGCUCGUCGGAGAGGGGAGAGCGGGCAGUAGAGGGCGACAACGUCCUCUGCUGCCCGCAGAUAAACGGAGAAGGAAGUGACGCGCCACCAUCAGCGUCAGCCUGAAGAAGCCGGCAGCCGUCGGCGAAACUGUAGCGUCAAUAACAGGUCUGGGUGUUCGGAGCAGCAGUUGUUCCCAGUGUUGGCAUCCACUCUGGAUAUGCCCGAAUCACCUCUACUUGCAGAUGAUGAAGGAGCAGCCUCACCAGUCGACCGGAUCACCUCCACUGGCACACUUUGAUGUGGAGGAGCAGCAGCUCUCUGGGAUGCAGCGUUGUUUAAAUGUUAUCAGCGGGAUGCAGAGACACGCACACAUAGCAACAGACACGUUUUCCUGUCAGAUUCCUCCAUUUCCUCAAUAUUUAAAAUAUGUCUUGUUAAGCACGUCCACCCCAAGGCCAGCUGAGAGCAUCCUGUAACCAUUGCAGUUCUGUCUCUCUGCAAUUUACUUCCUGCUGCACAGCUUUGAACUCAAGGCCGUUUAAAUGUUCAAACCCUUGAAGUUUUUCCGCAAGAUGUUCUUCGAUCUGCCACAUGUCUGUGGCUAGAUGUCAUCAGCACUUGUUUUGAUGUUUUUUUUUUUUUUUUCAAAUUUAAAGGGGACAAAUUAUGCAAAACUUACCUUUUGCUUCCUUUUUUGCUGCUAUGUGCAUCUCUACUGCCACUAUAAACACUCCAAAAAUGGAGAAAGAAGUCCAUCUGUUUUCUGUGGUUGGUUAGUUUUAGGAAAAAUGUGCCUAAAACAACCUGUUUCAAUAAUUUCUCAUUUGUGAUGUCACAAAAGAGAAAUUAGAAUCAAACCACCUCCAUUGUGCAAAAGCAAGCUCCUGCUGGGGGAGCAGCAUUUUUACUCCAAGCCCCUCCCAGAGGGCAGAGAUUCUCAGCUUAUAGCAGCCUGAAGCCUAGCUUAUACUUCUCCGUCUGCACCGGUGUGGUGCCAUUAUUAAUUACAUAGGAAGUGUUACAAAAAGCCAUUAUCAUUGUCCAGCAGGAUCGCAGUGACGGAUGGAGUAGAGCCCCUUUUUGGAACUACCGGUACCUGUGGAAAGCAACAGAGACCGCAAGCCUGUGAUUGGUCAGAACGCUGCCAUUCCCUCUAAAAAAUAAUAAUAAAGCCAGAGCCGAACAUAUCUAGCGACAGACACAGAGCAGAUUGAAGAAGGUCUCACGUAAAAAGUCAUACGAAAUAAACGUUAAUGCACCACUGAAGAAGUACAAAGAUAUGCGGCAAACUUUUUAUUCGUGUCAGGAAAUUACGGGAAACGUGAAUUUAGAGGUGAUGACUUGACGAAGAGGUGGAGGGCAAAUUUGUCUGUGUUCAAAAGCGCUCCGCCCUCUGCUGUCCUGGCAGAAAAUUGCUUUACACCGACACAGCAAGGGAGAAGUAUUAAAGGAACAUACCUCCAUCAAAUCUGUGUGUGUGAGCGCAAAGUUGUUGACAGAGGAGCAUAAACAAGGGUUGAGUGGGGGGUAGGUGGGCGUGGCCAGCUCCAGCUAUUUUUCUUAAAGUGACAGAGUCCAUAAACAACUCAUUCUGGAAGGUACUGAAAAUGUCAAGAGCUUUAAUUGCUUUACAUGAGUGGGAUUUUGUGCACAGAAAUGAAUAAACAUGUUAUGUAUGGACCAUAAAACUAUCACAACUUAACAAUAAAUGUCAUAAUAUGUCCCCGUUAAA